GUCAAGAAGCCAGUCCUUCGAACUCUCUGCGAGGUGGAAUGGACCAGCUUUCAGGCUGAAUGGCCUCCUCAGGGGUCCUUUGACCUCACUCUGGUACAUAAGGUUCAUGCUAUUGUCUAUUCUAUGCAUGAAGAUCAAAUCCUAUACAUUGAGGCAUGGAGAACCCUCACCGAAAACCCUCCAGAUUGGCUAAAACCUUUCCUUUCCCCUCACCUCCCUAAAGUACAGGUUUUGCCGCUUAAAGGCCGUCCACCUGAUAAGAAUAUUGACGGGACUAAACGGCCGCCCCCUUUACCAUCUGCACCGGAGGAAGAAGAAGAAACUUGUAAAUGGCCCUAUAGUUCUCGCCCGGAGAAUACGAGGCAAGCCCGAGUCGGGACACUCCCCUGAGCCCGUCUCACACCCAAUCAGGAACCUCCUUCUAUCCCCCUCCCGCUGCCUUACUCCUUCGGCCAGGGCCACCUUUGCAGGGUGAUGUCCGACCCUUUAUGAUUUAUGUACCUUUUCCACUAGCGGCCUUUAUAACUGGAAGCUUCAAAACCCCCCAUUCUCAGAAAAACCCCAAGCAUUAACUUCUCUCCUUGAAAGGAUAUUUGUGACCCAGCAGCUAACCUGGGAUGACUGCCAGCUCUUGCAGUCUCUCUUCACUACCGAGGAAUGGGAUAAGAUCCGUCGUGAGGCCCGGAAAUUGGUGAUGGGGCCAAACGGGCAUCCCACCGAGGAUCCCGCCUUACUCAAGGAAGUCUUUCUUUCCUCGCACCCUGAAGAUUGGGAUCCAAACACUCCUCACGAAUGCCUGAGUGCCACCAAGGAACUCUUGAGUCUUCUGCAAAAAUUGGGAUACUGAGUAUCAGCCAAAAUGCAGAUCUCUCUCACUGCGGUCACUCAUUUAGGUUACAACAUUAAAAAGGAUCCUGAUAUCAACAUGUUUUCAGAUGGCAGUAGUUUUGUGUUUCAAAGGCAAAGGCAUGCCGGUGCUGCAGUUACCACAGACCGCGAGGUUCUAUGGCAACAGACCCUUCCCCUGGGAACCUCAGCCCAGCUCGCAGAGCUCAUCAUGCUAACUAAAGCCCUGAAACUUGGGUAAA